UACGGAGGGGGCGAGCGUUAUCCAUCAUGAUUGGGCGUAAAGAGUCCGUAGGCGGCACUUGGUGGUGGUUUGUCAAAUUCCCCGGCUUCACCGGGGCACGGCGCUCCAGACACUUGGGCUUGAGUGAGAAAGACGAUCAUGGAAUUUCCCAUGUAGGGGUGGUAUCCGAACAUAUGGGAAGGAACAUCAACGGUGAAGACAAUGAUCGAGUUCUUGUCACUGACGCUGAGGGACGAAAGCGUGGGGAGCAAACAGG
rnacentral:rRNA from 1 species